AUUAUACCUUAAAUUCCUUUGAACUUCUUAAUUCCUAUAAAAUUCCUUUGAACUACAAUAUAAGUCUCCUUCUCCUUAGAGCUGCGUUUUCCAAAGUGUAUGAGGUGAUUGUGUGGUGCCUAUUUUUGAACAAUUUAAUUAAAAUUGUGUAGCACCUGCAAUAUUAGUAAGAUAUUUUUGUUUAAACAAAGUGGUUUAAGUUUAAGGAAGGGACAGGGACAAGUAUAAUAUGUGGAAAUGUAAAGAAUAUUAGCGUCCACGUGAUGGAUCAUUCUUUCUGGCAGCCGUCUGGCUCUUUCCCAGUUAAUUGUAUUGCUCUAUGGGUUUGCAAAUGACUUCCCCCAAAAACUAAUUUGCAUAAGUAUCUACAAUACAAGGAAACACAAGUGGGUACCACCACUGAAUAGUAUGGACUGGUUGGUGCAAUUUCGGCAGAUAUCUUUACCAGCAUCCCGUGGAACUAGGGUAGGAGGAUUCGACGAGAAUGGAGAACCCUGAACCGUGGAACUCAACGAAUUAUAUUUCUUCCACAGGAAGUACCAACUAGGUCAAUACAGGAGAAAGCAAUAGAUUUUUGGGGGAAUUGAAAGGAACAGUGGAAAACUUGUUCCUUACACCAGUUCCAGCACAAGAUGAGACUACAUCGCUGCCCAUUAUAUCAUAAUGGUCUGCUUAUUAACAUAAGGAAAUUUCAUGUUUCUAGAAGUAGAAAACUCUAACGAAUGGAGGGACGUCCCAUUACAGAAUAUACCAAAUUAAUUUUCUGUGCAUAUUAUCAAUGAUGAAGACCUUACUUCUAAACUUAUUGGCAUUAUCCAUUUUGUUCAUCUCUACCAUGAGGCUGGAAAUAAAUUCAAGAAAUUUACAACAACUGAAGCAACAAUAGGACAUUACACUGCCAUAUGUCUUAGGCCGGGCAUAAAUGGACGGAAUUUAAUGAUACCUGUAUCUGCUACAAACUCUAAAAAGAAGACAUUCGAAUGUUGUCCAAGUAUGCUAAUAUUUUUUAAAAUAAAUGUUUGAUCAAAAGAAA
rnacentral:lncRNA from 1 species